AGGAUGAAGGUUUAACAAUGGAUAGUGUCUUUAUGGUAAAACAAUAACUUGUAUUUCAGGUAAAAAUACUUGAAUAAGCUUAAGGGACGAUAAGACCCUAAAAGCUUUAUAAUCACGGGGGGAUGGGUUUAGUGUUGAGUACGAGGUAGUUUAGCUGGGGCAGCGGGUGCAUUGAACCUGUGAUGAGGUUUGGUUAAUUAAAGGGUUCUUUAGAUAAGGAUUAAUGGAAUUAGUUACUUUAGGGGUAACAGCGUAAUAACCCUUAGUAGACCGAAUUUACGGGGGGGUUUGCGACCUCGAUGUUGAAUUAGAAUUUCUUUUGGGAGCAAAAACCCAGUUAGAGGGUUUGUUCAACCUUUAAAUUUCUACAUGAUUU
rnacentral:rRNA from 1 species